UUUGACAAAUUUAUUUGUUUUAGAAUUUCUAAUCUCACUUUGUAUGGAAACUAAUUCAAAUACAGAACGCAUAGUUAAAUAAAUAACUGUCACUAUUUCUAAACGGGUGAAGACAGCGAGCUGGUAGAAUAGUUCGCACGUCGGACGAAAUGCUUAGCAACAUUUCGUCCGUCUUCUCGAUCCCAUUUCAAAUUCAGGCUACGUGAUUUACACUUUCAUCCUUUUAGGGGUCAACAUACUAGAUAGCAGUUUUUCCCUUGGACAUGUGCCAUCGACUUCACAUCCCUUCAAAGAAUUGUUAACACAGUUUCAAAAAUUUGAAACCGUUAUCAAUAUUAAUGUUGCUGAUUGGCAGAAUCGUUAACGCGUAGAAUUACACAAUUAGUAGCUUUUCAUCCAGGUCUAUACGUUAUGAGUUCACCUAACGUCGAGCUGAACUUUCAUGAUUCGGAAAUCAAUAAAAUAUUAUCUCAAUCAAGUAGUGGAAUUGAAAGUAAUUGAUACUUCCCUACAUUCAAAAUUUCAAACCUUGUGCCAAAGCUAGAAUGUCUUAGAAAUAUGUAUGUAUAAAGGUGGAGAGAUGUGCGUUGCUAUUGUAUUCAAGCUUAUCUACAGAUUCACACAAAGAAGCACAAAACAGGCCGUCCAAAACUACGUGUAAUUCACAUGGGUUUCGUGGAUUUUAAUUCGAAUUCCACAGAAACAUAAUCGGCGAAAUCGUAUUUGAUACAGUACAGGGCAAGCAAGAUCUGGGGAGGCGGAGAACCCAUUAUAUCGAACCCAAUGUUCAACAGGCAAUUAUUUUAGCAAUCACGAACCUAUGAAAAUGAAAAUCCACCUCAGCGGAAUUCGAACAAAAACGCUCCACCUCAAAAUAUUAGCACUUCUUCGUCGUACAAUUAUCUCUAAUUUGUCUUCCGUAUAAGUUCGACAAUCCACACAAUUCAUUUUAAUUAUUGGUACUCCGGGGACCUUAUAUUCUUUGAACUGCGAAAGCCCGAUGUUUACUGCAUGGAUUUUGACUCUUUGUUUUCUCCAAGUAAAACUGCAGUCAUCCUGGUUUUUGCUGCCAUGGUGUAACAGCAUUUUACCAUUCCCUUGGAUAGCAUAGGUGACGUGCGGAGGUGAAAACAUGGGUGACUGCUUCUCUUUAAUAUACAACUUUGCUUGGACUUGUGAUUAGAAGAGGGACUUUCUACGUGCAAUCUCAUAGACAUUCAUAGAGACAGAGAUACACACCCACAUACAUAUACUUAAAGGUAUGUUUGUAGCUAUACAUAUUCAUAGGUUUAUGCACGAACAUUUUUCUGUGUUUUUUCCACACCAAUACUUGAGAACAUUUGUUGGUUUGUUUAUGUCUCCAUAAUACAGUGGAGCAGCAAAGGAGGUCAAUAUAAUAAGCACGAGUUUUUUAAAAUAAUACAUGUCUCCGAAUUGAGUUCUUCGACGCAAGCCUUCCAAAACAUGCUGCAGCAUGGUCAUAUUUUAACGACGAAACCAAGUACACGAUAAAUGAUGAGAAAUUAGAACAUGACUCAACUCUGCACAUCAAAGACCAUUAGUUAAUUUGGGGGUAAAAUUACGAGUUUUGUUAUCGGUGACAUAUAAUUUAAAAUUUUUUUUUUAAAAACUGCUUUCGUCUGCAAUAUAUUUGUUACUCUUAACCUGAUUAAUGAUUACAAACAAACAUUCGGUCGGUCCGGACAUCUUAAUAAUCUUCACAUUGACAGAAAAAUUACGACGGCAAAAGCCAGACAUUGUAAGGGAUGCAGCAAUCGUUUAAAAAGUUAUUUAAACAAACG